rnacentral:rRNA from 1 species
UACAGAGGUCCCGAGCGUUGUUCGGAUUCACUGGGCGUAAAGGGUGCGUAGGUGGUGAGGUAAGUCGGAUGUGAAAUCUCCGAGCUCAACUCGGAAAUGGCAUUGGAAACUACCUUGCUCGAGGGUUGGAGGGGGGACUGGAAUACUUGGUGUAGCAGUGAAAUGCGUAGAUAUCAAGUGGAACACCGAUGGCGAAGGCAGCCCCCUGGGCUGACACUGACGCUCAGGCACGAAAGCGUGGGGAGCAAACAGG